GUAAGCAAUUCUCAUUUCAGAGUCACCUGACAUUCCCGGGGGGGCCCUCCCUUUCCUGUUCAAGUAUGCCUAACUAGCCAGUCUAGGAGUUUAUGGCCUCUCUUUAUAUGGCAUGAAGAUAUUGUGGCUUGAUUGGCCUUAUUCCAGACCCUUGGAAGUCCAGGUGUCAAGAGUAGGGAAGGCCUUUUUCAGUAAGAACUUUGCAGUCUAGUGGAAAAAAACAGGCAAUCAAUAUGGGGCCUGUUGGAAUGAUAUGUGCCAGCUGGGAUUUCUGCCUCAUCACACUGCCAGAGAGAAGAGUGUGAAGCCCGCUUGGAGAAGAGGAGGAGGCUGAAAAGAAGGCAAAGAGUGAAGAUAGAGAAACAAGAUGGAAGUGGGGGAGAAAAACAGGGAUGAGAGAAUGCCAUGGUGGUGCUGAGAAGGAAAGGAGAGACUUUUCUGCUUGUAAAGGGCAGAAGAUGGCAGAAUCCAGUGACGCAGGGGCAUCUGGCUCCAGAAAUAAUAGGUCACUUGGCACCCACUUCUUCAAAACAGUGAGCUUCAUGAACAUUCUUAUUUAUUUGACGUGGAUAUUGCAUGCCUGGUAGAUGUGUUCCACAAGAAAUUCUUGGUGGGAGUCAACCUAAUCACAGUGAAGGAAUAGUCUUUGAGAGAAGGGCUUUACUUACUUGACAGCUAUCUGCUUUUAUUUGAGAAGCUAAGAUGGGAGGAUUCGGAUUACGUAUUGCCAGUUGCAUUCUUUGUUUCUCUUUUGAAAUAUGAGAAUUGACUCGGACUGUGCAAACUAUUUUCUUCUCAUUUCUUUAUUACCACAUAUUUAACGUGUGUCAACAAGCUGACUCUUAAUUGGCUGGCUCAAGUACAGCGACAGGAUUCUAUAGGAAGGGGGAGCAAAGCCAUAAGCAAACUUAAACAUUUCUUGAUGCCAUUAUAGCUCUCAAUGGCCAUCUUAUACUAAUGCCUAUUUCUCUACAUCACACACACACACACCCGCCCCCACAUUCAGCACUUUAUAUUAUAAAGUGGCAAAAACCACAAUUACUUUUGCACCAACCUAAUAGUAACUCACUACAUGUAAGGAGAUUGUGGAGAUGCAAACUUCUCUUCCCUUUACCUUACUGGCUUCUUUCUAAUAAGCUGAACUUGGGUGUGAGGGUAGUCAGAGAGAGGCAAGGUUACUCUAAUUUUCCAUUUGCAGGAUAUCUAUGUUUGAAAGAAGACAAUUCAAAUGCUGGCUUUACCCAUGCAGCGACAAACAAUUUUUACUCUUACUUUUAUGGGCUUCAGAGAGGCUACACAAUCUCUCAGAAGUCCCUGCUGACUGUGAUUUUUAAAGGAAUGUUAUUUUGGAAGUGAAGUGACUGAGAAGUAACUAUAAUCUUCAGGGGUAGAGAAACAGAAAAGAUAUGAGGUUGGCAUAAUAGUCUUGGGAAGAUAGAAUAAGACAAAGAAGAGCUUAUAGUUUUAGAGCUGAACUCAGGUUGGAUCUUUUAUCUGAUAACAUUUUAAAUAUUCAGUGUUAUUCUCUAUCAUUACAAAUAGCCAGAAAAUAAUUUUGUUUUCAUAAGGAAGUGAUUUAAAAAGGAAGAAUUUAGGGAAAAAAUUACAAGAAAUGAUUCUCAGUGAGGGUUGGCUACUUGAAAGUUAUCAAAGUAGGCUUCAGAAAGCUUAACUGUCAUGUAUCCAUCAAAGAGUGAGAGGAAUUAAUGAAUUCUACAUGAAUUCAGUAUGUUCUACAAACAUAGGAAGAUCUAAAUUUAGUGUUGUAUGAAUAUUUUUUCAUUUAAGAAUUGUUACCAGUUACCUCAUGAUUGGUACACUGGGUUAAGCAUUAAAAGAUCUGAAAUUGGGAGGAAGAAAGAAAGAGAGUAAUGUAUCUGGAGCCAUGACAAAGAAAGUUUUUAAAACAAUUGCUUAUUUAUCCUUAAUUCAUCGUAAUAACCAUUACUGUUCUCAAACCUAAAAAAAAAUCACUUCUGCCAUUUUGCUUCCUCUUCGACCUUUUAUCUUCCUUUUCUUGUACUCAUAUGUAAAAUAUUUCUGUGACAACUUGAGUAGUAGUUAAUCUGCUUAUGCCAUUCUGGACAGACACAAAGAGAUGGUGUCCCCAUGUGUGGGAAUUACUCCCAGUGCAGCGGGAAUGAAAUUAAACUACAAUCUCAAGUCCUCUGAAGAAGUCCCUGAAGAGUACAGCCCCUGGUUAAAAUCCAUGUGUGAAUUUUCAGGCCUGACCAUAGGCAAUUACAAUGGCUUUACCUGGCAGGCCUCGUGGGGAAAUCUGCCUUUCCCUCACCAGACUUUAUAGCCAAUGCACUGCAGCCUCAGGAGAGAGUGGCAGUCAAGGACUCAGGUCCCCCAGCCAAUCAUGCUCUUUCACAUAUUUACCUUCGUAACCCAGGAACCUUCAUUCCAAGGUCUCUGACACCUCCGACAGAGACCUUCUUCAGGUUCCUCUGCUGAAACCUUCUUAUGCAGGAGGAGGGAAAAACCUUGAAGACAUGUUUCCACAUUCUGACCCAAUACUCAGGAAUUUUCCCCACCCCUAGCCCUUCUCCUCUUCUCUCCCCAGCACUCCUCUUCUCAUAUCUAUGAUGAUCCAUCUGACUCUUAAUUGGUGUGCCUUUCUUUUGGGAAAAAUGGAACAGGGGGAGUCAGUGCCUCCGCCAGUUUUAGCCUCUUGCUUAUGCCAUUGCAGCAUGUGAUUAAAAGCUGAAUCCUGUCAUUUUUACUGGUUGUUUUAAUAGGCUGCGCUGAUACCUGGCCACUCAGCUCUCUCUCUCUCUCUCUCUCUCUCUCUCUCUCUCUCUCUCUCAGCUGAGUUCCUGACAGUCCCAGCUUUGCCUCUUACUGGUUGUGUGACCUUAGGCAAAUCAUUUAAUGUUUCUCAGCUUCAUUUUAUCAUAUGUAAAUUUAGGACAAUAAUACUCGAUGAAGUUCUUAUGUGGAUUAUAUGAGGUGCUUGUGAAAAAUACCUUACCUGGUAAAUUGCGACUCAAUUCUUAAUCAGAAACAGAAACAGAAACAGUGGGUCACUAACCUAGGGUCCUCUAGGGAGAACUUGCACUUACAUAUUUUCCUGCAAUGCCUUGGAUUACAUCAUAUGGCAAAGUCCUUUUAUGUGUAAAUGCCAGCUGUGAGGGUAAUCACUUGUUAGUGUCUGUUUGCUUUCUUUGUUACCAUUUUCUGGUUAAUUCUGGAAGGAAAAAUUUUUUGUCUUCUUGUCAGUAUUUUUCUUUUAUUUUGAUGCUUUUUGUCAGAUAUGUUUCCCCCUAAGAGCUGACAUUGAUGUUGUAUGGUGCAUAUGUUAAUGUGGCAAUGAGAUAUUGCAGUGAGAUUACAGCUCCACAAGGGGGUACAUAAAUGACAGUCUCCAAACAGAAACCAGCAUAGCUGCCAAAAAGGAAAGCUUCAAGAUUCUCGGCUUCAUUUUUCAGUUAUGUUAUUAGAAUAAACACGUUCUCUAAUGGCAGAAGGUACCUCAGAUAAGGAUCUAUAGGUGAUGUAGGAUAUCACUCAGCUACUCACAGACCUAAACAAGGCAACAUUUCCCAAGAUUAUAAUUUAUCUGUGAAAGGUACUAGAAAUGACUAUAUUUAUCGCCCCAUAUCAUCCCUUACAAUCUCAGAUGUCAGGGAAAAGCCCAAGGUCAGAAACCCAGAUUGUGCUCAUGUCUGUCAGGCAGAAGCUCUAGCAUGAGCUCAUAGGUAUCUAGAAAACUUUGCGCAAACUGGGACAGAGCAGGCUACUUUCCUUUAAGCCAAACAUCGUAAGGAGGCUUUUUGCUAAGUUUAUUGUUAGAUUUAUUCCAUUUUGAGUUUAUUUUUAAGUGGUAUUGCAUUUGAGGUUGGUGCUAAGUAGCUCUCAAUAAUUCUCUGAUCUUGAUGUUGGCUUGCCUCACCAUAUGAAGACUGAGUCUGAGAAGAGGGAGAUCUCAGUUCAUGGGUCAGAAAAUUGACUAUUUCCAUCACAUGUGAGACAUUUAGGUUCUGAGGGAAGAGGUGAACUUUUUCCAGUUCUGGCAAAGUUUUAUUUAGACCAAUGAGCUCAUGCUAGAGAGUCUUUCGUGACAAAUAUGAGUACCAUCUGGAUUCCUGACAUUAGCCUUGUUCCUCAUCUCUGAGAUAACCAUCAAAACAAGCAAGUGCUACCCAGAAGUGUUUGUGUGUGCGUAUGUGUGCGUUGGGGAAGGGGGAGUAGGAUUCCUGACACAUGUUCCAUAUGAUUUCUCAUAAGGUCCUCAAGAGAGCUCAGUCCCAGUUGCCCACACUGAUAACCCACUUGUUAAUAUAUCCCUUAUCGGCUUUUUGCUUUUCCUUGUUUCAUUUUUCCCACUUUCUCACCUGUGUUUCUUAGAUCACCUCUCAAAAUAAACUGCUUGUACCCAACUGCUUGUUUCAGUGUCUGCUUUUGGGUAACUCUAAGACAGAACCAUUUAAAAAAAUCCUUGAAGGAUGAAAAUCUAACACAAAAAUGUGUUGAUACUAUAUGUACAAUCCAGAUUUUGGUAAGAUAAAAA
rnacentral:lncRNA from 10 species